UACGUAGGUGGCAAGUGUUGUCCGGAUUUAUUGGGCGUAAAGGGCUCGUAGGCGGUCUGUUGCGUCAGGAGUGAAAACUCGGGGCUUAACCCCGAGCCUGCUUCUGAUACGGGCAGACUAGAGGUAUGCAGGGGGAGAACGGAAUUCCUGGUGUAGCGGUGAAAUGCGCAGAUAUCAGGAGGAACACCGGUGGCGAAGGCGGUUCUCUGGGCAUUACCUGACGCUGAGGAGCGAAAGUGUGGGGAGCGAACAGG
rnacentral:rRNA from 1 species